UGAAGAGCAGGAUGUUGAUAUUGAAAAUCAAUACUACAACUCUAAAGGGUUGGUUGAAACGGACCCCGAAGGAGCUCUUGCAGGGUUUGCCGAGGUGGUACGCAUGGAACCUGAUAAGGCAGAGUGGGGCUUCAAGGCUCUCAAGCAAACUGUCAAGCUUUAUUAUAGACUGGGGAAGUAUAAAGAAAUGAUGGAUUCAUAUCGAGUGAUGCUUACAUACAUAAAAUCAGCAGUGACCCGUAAUUAUAGCGAAAAAUGUAUAAACAAUAUCAUGGAUUUUGUAUCUGGAUCAGCAAGUCAGAGCUUUGGUCUCUUGCAAGAAUUUUAUCAAACCACUUUGAAAGCCCUUGAAGAGGCAAAGAAUGAG
rnacentral:misc_RNA from 1 species